AGUGAACGCUGGCGGCAGGCCUAACACAUGCAAGUCGAACGGCAGCGCAGGAAUCGGCUGCUCUGACGGUGGGGGAGGGGCGGGCGGGGCAUGAAUACAUCCGAAUUUGCUGUUGCGUGCGGGACAACGUAGGGAUACUUACGCCAAUACCGCAUACGACCUACGGGGGAAAGCAAGAGAUCUUCGGACCUUGCGCGAGUCAAUGAGCGGAUGUCGGAUUAGCGAGUUGGCGGGGUAAAGGCGCACCAAGGCGACGAUCCGUAGCUGGUCCGAGAGGACGACCAGCCACACUGGAACUGAGACACGGCCCAGACUCCUACGGGAGGCAGCAGUGGGGAAUUUUGGACAAUGGGGGCAACCCUGAUCCAGCCAUGCCGCGUGCGGGAAGAAGGCCUUCGGGUUGUAAACCCCUUUUGUUGGGAAAGAAAAGCUCUAGGCUAAUACCCCGGGGUGAUGACGGUACCGAAAGAAUAAGCACCGGCUAACUACGUG
rnacentral:rRNA from 1 species